AUAUUGGACAAUGGGCGAAAGCCUGAUCCAGCCAUGCCGCGUGUAAGAAGAAGGUCUUCGGAUUGUAAAGUACUUUAAGUUGGGAGGAAGGGCAGUAAGUUAAUAGCUUGCUGUUUUGACGUUACCGACAGAAUAAGCACAGGCUAACUCCGUGCCUGCAGCCGCGGUCAUACGUAGGGUGCAAGCGUUAAUAGGAAUUACUGGGCGUAAAGCGCGAGUAGGUGGUUCGUUAAGUUGGAUGUGAAAGCCCAGGGCUCAACCUGGGAACUGCAUCCAAAACUGGCGAGCUAGAGUACAGUAGAGGGUGGUGGAAUUUCCUGUGUAGCGGUGAAAUGCGUAGAUAUAGGAAGGAACACCAGUGGCGAAGGCGACCACCUGGACUGAUACUGACACUGAGGUGCGAAAGCGUGGGGAGCAAACAGG
rnacentral:rRNA from 1 species